GCCGAUGUGAUGGAAUUGGUAGACGUGCCAGACUCAAAAUCUGGUGAGGGCAACCUCGUGUCGGUUCGACCCCGACCAUCGGCACCA
rnacentral:tRNA from 1 species